CAUCAACAUUCACUAGAGUUAGAAAAACAUAUGAAGAAGUCAUGUUUUGGUUAUUUAACAAACAUCAAAUUGAUUAACUUGUUCUGCUUACUCUUUUUUGUAAUGUCCCUGUUACAUUUUUCUCUCAUUUUUAUAAUGUGAUGAUUAUUAUUGUGUCAUUGAUACAAAGAACGAUAUGAACGGAGAUUGUCUUUUGCAAAUUUUAUCAGCCUUUAUGGUCAUGAUUGUGAUUAUUGGAACUAGAAGUUGAUGCUGUUGUGUUUGUAGCAUCACAAUGUUCGCCUCAUAAUUGUCCUAGUGCACCCUUCUCGAUUUUCUCCCUUUUCACGAUUUCUUCAUCUAUAUGUAUAUCUUCAUCAAUUGUCAGAAUGACAGCUUUUGUUCCAUCUGGACGGGUUAUGACAUCUUCAUGGACUUUCUUGUGUUCAUCCACUUUCACGAUAUCAAUUUCCUGAGAGGCUUUCUUCUUUUUCUUCUUAAGGAAGCAGCACAGAGCAACUGAGAGAAAUGCUAGAAAGAACAGACCACCAAGCGAGACAAAUAUAAUGAUGAUGGUAUGUGAAUGAUGUCCUGGUGGAGAUGGGGGUGGAGUUGGAACAAUGUGUGGUGGCGGUGGAGGAUGAAAAGGACGAGGUGGUGGCUUAAUUGGUGAUGGAGGUGGUGGACUAGGAUAAUGAUGUGGCGGUGAUGGUGCAACGGGUGGACGUGGACGUGGACGUGGAGGUGCAGGUGGUGUAACCGGUGGACGUGGUGGUGCCACUUUUGGUGAUGAUGGUGUGACUGGUGGACGUGGUGGGGCCACUUUCGGAGGGAAAGGAGGUGUAUUAGGUUGGUGGGGUGGUGACACACUUGGUGGAGGAAAUGGAUAGUUAUGAGGUGGGAAUGGAGGGAAGUAAGGGAAGUUGAAAUUUUGAACAUUUGCCAUUGCAAUGGAAGUUUUUGUUACUUGGCUAAAAGCUUAUACUGAGUAAGAUGUUUGAUUGAUGAUGCUUAUUGUUAGUGUUUAGUUUGAGUAUAUAUAUUACUUAGGUGUUAGUAAUGAUAAUACUUGUAAGGUUGUUAUAACUUGACUCUUAGGCGAAGUUUUGCCAAGUUGUCAUUGGUUGCAUUCCAAAACACUCAUUUUUAUUCA